GACGAACGCUGGCGGCGUGCCUAAUACAUGCAAGUCGAGCGGACUGAUUAAGAGCUUGCUCUUAUGACGUUAGCGGCGGACGGGUGAGUAACACGUGGGCAACCUGCCCUGUAGAUCGGGAUAACACCGAGAAAUCGGUGCUAAUACCGGGUAAUAUCUGAGAUCACAUGAUCUUAGGUUAAAAGAUGGCUCCGGCUAUCACUACAGGAUGGGCCCGCGGCGCAUUAGCUAGUUGGUAAGGUAAUGGCUUACCAAGGCGACGAUGCGUAGCCGACCUGAGAGGGUGAUCGGCCACACUGGGACUGAGACACGGCCCAGACUCCUACGGGAGGCAGCAGUAGGGAAUCUUCCGCAAUGGACGAAAGUCUGACGGAGCAACGCCGCGUGAGCGAUGAAGGGUUUCGGCUCGUAAAGCUCUGUUGUUAGGGAAGAAACAGUACCGAACGAACUAGGUCGGUACCUUGACGGUACCUAACCAGAAAGCCACGGCUAACUACGUG
rnacentral:rRNA from 1 species